CUGGUUUCUUGGCAGAGUAAGAACUGGGUACCAAUGACAAAAUUAACAGAGCUGAGAGUAGUAGAACAUUGAUUGAUUCCAUCUUCGCCAUUAAUCACUCUCUCACUAAGCUCUGCAACUCUCUCACGCUCUGUGUGACAUAAUGUGGGUUUCAAU